rnacentral:rRNA from 1 species
CAGCAGCCGCGGGAAUACGGAGGGAGCUAGCGUUGUUCGGAAUUACUGGGCGUAAAGCGCACGUAGGCGGCUAUUCGAGUCAGGGGUGAAAGCCCGGGGCUCAACCCCGGAACUGCCUUUGAAACUAGAUAGCUUGAAUCUUGGAGAGGCGAGUGGAAUUCCGAGUGUAGAGGUGAAAUUCGUAGAUAUUCGGAAGAACACCAGUGGCGAAGGCGACUCGCUGGACAAGUAUUGACGCUGAGGUGCGAAAGCGUGGGGAGCAAACAGGAUUAGAUACCCCCGUAGUCCCUGUCUCUUAUAC